rnacentral:lncRNA from 1 species
CUUGCGUGUCACCUGCCUGGGUCUGGCAGAAGGAGGCUCAAUUGAUUGGGUCGCCUUGGCAGUAAAUCUGGCCCAGUUGUUUCCACCUGAGAAAUCUGGAAAGAAUGCAAUGAAAAUGUCGGACUUCUCAAAGUUGCAGGACAAAUGAAGAACCGAAGAAUUUUCACUGAAGAGGGAAGAGCCCAAACACAAUCUGGUGUUUGAACAGAUGUCAGUGUUACAGCCAUCAACGUACCUAAACUUUACAAAGCAUCUGGCAGAAAGAGAAGCACUGAAAUUGUCAGAGGAUCUACUCACUACAUUUUUACUCUUGAAGGCGAGGGAGGACAUACAUUUAUGAGAGGAAGCGGGGCUCCCUCAAUUCAUAUCAGAAGGAAACAGAGAAGAACAUAUCUUGAAACGUUUUGCACCAUAAAGGAGCAGAUACAUGUACGUAAAUUGGCAAAUUAGUUGUCGCUCUCUGUCUUCUGCCAACGUGGCACGAUUCACCUGAG